CAUAUACUCCCUCCGUUCCGAAUUACUUGUCUUGGAUUUGUCUAGAUACGGAUGUAUCUAGACUUAUUUUAGUGCUAGAUACCUCCGUAUCUAGACAAAUCUAAGACAAAUAAUUCGGAACGGAGGGAGUAUAUU
rnacentral:pre_miRNA from 1 species